rnacentral:lncRNA from 1 species
ACACACACAGAGAACCCACAACCACAACACAACACUACAUUUGUGCUUUUUGCAGGUAGAUAGAAGCAUCGUCUUCUUCACCUCCUUUUCUCCAAACACUCAAUUUGAUUCUUUGAAUAUGCAAAAGGUUCAAUUUGAUUCUCUUACUCAAGUCGUAAUUGUGACUGCUGCAAACUAAAUCGCAAUCCCGACACCGGUAACUGAUACGAUAACGAAAGAGAGAAGCCACGAGAGCUUAAGGACGGAAAGGAAUUGAAAUUGGAAUCUGCGGCGAUCGGAAAUUUGAGAUCGGCGGCGGAAGGAAUUGGUGUGGACGGUUUAGGAAGUAAAGUUGUGGGGUGCCGUGAGAGAGAAGAUGCUCACAAUCACAGGGUGAGCACUGCAGUUGGAGUAUAUAUAUAAAAAAAAAAAAAAAAA